UACGUAGGCAGCAAGCGUUGUUCGGAAUUACUGGGCGUAAAGAGUGUGUAGGCGGUGCUCUAAGUUCGGUGUGAAAUCUCCCGGCUUAACUGGGAGGGUGCGCCGGAAACUGGAGUGCUUGAGCGCGGGAGAGGGAAAAGCGGAAUUCCUGGUGUAGCGGUGAAAUGCGUAGAUAUCAGGAGGAACACCUGUGGUGUAGACGGCUUUCUGGACCGUAGCUGACGCUGAGACACGAAAGCGUGGGUAGCAAACAGG
rnacentral:rRNA from 1 species